rnacentral:misc_RNA from 1 species
GUCAAAUGGAGGCAGUUGGCAGGGUAGUUACAUGGUGCACCUGAUAAAACAAAGAAACAUAUAGCUAUUGAAUUAUAACUUAUAAGCAGUCUCCUUUGUAGCAGAACUUUUCCUCUUUCCUCUUCUUUUCAGUUUUGCUAAAGCUUUCUUUGGUGGAUAUACCAAUUUCUUGAAAUGAAAGUAUUUAUGAAUCUGUGGUAGUUUCAUGAUUUAUUUGAUGAGUU